rnacentral:rRNA from 1 species
UACAGAGGUCCCGAGCGUUGUUCGGAUUCACUGGGCGUAAAGGGUGCGUAGGUGGUGAGGUAAGUCGGAUGUGAAAUCUCCGAGCUCAACUCGGAAACUGCAUUGGAAACUACCUUGCUUGAGGUUUGGAGGGGGGACUGGAAUACUUGGUGUAGCAGUGAAAUGCGUAGAUAUCAAGUAGAACACCAGUGGCGAAGGCGAGUCCCUGGACAAAUCCUGACACUGAGGCACGAAAGCUAGGGGAG